GAAAUGCGAUACCUAGUGUGAAUUGCAGAAUUCAGUGAAUCAUCAAACCUUUGAACGCACCUUGCGCCUGAGGCUAUACCUCAGGCAUGCCUGUUUGAGUGUCGUUUAAAAAUACUCACCCAAACCCCCCAGGUGGGGAAUGGGUGGAGCUGAGCAUCGGGAGGCUCUGUCCUCUCGUUGCUUGAAAUGCAGUGGAGAAAAUGAGGCCGCUCUCGUCGCCUUGUUGAACACGGCUCCCAUUGGUGUCUUAGUGUGCCUAGCACAUUUCCAGCAUCAAUAGGCUGAUGGACCGAGGUGACCGGAUGCUUCCUUCAGAACCACACCUGGCUCUCAUAGAGGCCACCUUUAAACCUGCGACCUCAAAUCAGGCAGAGCUACCCGCCGAAUUUAA
rnacentral:misc_RNA from 1 species